ACUGACAGAAGAGAGUGAGCACACAGCGGGCAGACUGCAUCGAUCUGAACCGAGACGACGCAAGUAGGAAUGAUGAUGAUGAUGCAGCUGCUGCUGCGUGCUCACUUCUCUCUCUGUCAGA
rnacentral:pre_miRNA from 1 species